GUGGAUUAGUUACCCCGGUAGUCCACGCUAUAAACGAUGAGAGCUGGGUGUUGGUGGGAUUUCCCAUCAGUGCCGAAGCAAACGCGUUAAGCUCUCCGCCUGGGGACUACGAACGCAAGUUUAAAACUCAAAGGAAUUGACGGGGGCCCGCACAAGCAGCGGAGCGUGUGGUUCAAUUCGAUGCGACACGAAGAACCUUACCAGGGUUUGACAUGCAAGUGGUAGGGAAGGGAAACCGGACCGACCCGCAAGGGAGCUUGUACAGGUGCUGCACGGCCGUCGCCAGCU
rnacentral:rRNA from 1 species